CGUGAUAGGGGACACCGAGUGCCAGCAUCAUAUGCUGGCUGUCCGGGUGUGUAAAAUACACCCGUUAGCAAGGGCCGGGCAAGACCGGUGCCAGCCGCCGCGGUAACACCGGCGGCCCGAGUGGUGAUCGUGAUUAUUGGGUCUAAAGGGUCCGUAGCCGGUUUGGUCAGUCCUCCGGGAAAUCUGAUAGCUCAACUAUUAGGCUUUCGGGGGAUACUGCCAGGCUUGGAACCGGGAGAGGUAAGAGGUACUACAGGGGUAGGA
rnacentral:rRNA from 1 species